GUGCUCCCUUCAGCAGCACAUAUACUAAAAUUGAAACCAUACA
rnacentral:snRNA from 1 species